AUUGAACGCUGGCGGAAUGCUUUACACAUGCAAGUCGAACGGCAGCACGGACUUCGGUCUGGUGGCGAGUGGCGAACGGGUGAGUAAUGUAUCGGAACGUGCCCAGUCGUGGGGGAUAACGUAGUGAAAAUUACGCUAAUACCGCAUACGAUCUAUGGAUGAAAGCGGGGAAUCGCAAGACCUCGCGCGAUUGGAGCGGCCGAUAUCAGAUUAGGUAGUUGGUGGGGUAAAGGCCCACCAAGCCAACGAUCUGUAGCUGGUCUGAGAGGACGAACAGCCACACUGGAACUGAGACACGGUCCAGACUCCUACGGGAGGCAGCAGUGGGGAAUUUUGGACAAUGGGCGAAAGCCUGAUCCAGCCAUUCCGCGUGCAGGAUGAAGGCCCUCGGGUUGUAAACUGCUUUUGUACAGAACGAAAAGGUUUCUACUAAUACUAGGAGCUCAUGACGGUACUGUAAGAAUAAGCACCGGCUAACUACGUGCCAGCCGCCGCGAUAA
rnacentral:rRNA from 1 species